GUGGUGUCCAAACUGGAGACGUGGGACCUUUAUGGGGUCCAUGUCCGGAUUCUAAAAGCCCCCUGUCCACAUUUUAAGAAUGAAUUAAGAUAACAGUUCUUAUUUAAUUUGGCUGCAAACAAGCGUCAUAAAUCAGGUCUUUUCAACAGCUCUCAAGUCUCAGUGUUGGUACCAAAUCAAACCAGAACUACUGACAUCCUGAAAUCCUGAUCACUGCCCACCUCCUGGAUCAGAACAUGGAAUUCUCCUUGUUCAUGAUGGCUCCAAAUGUUUUCUUUUUUCAAGAAGUAGAGGGACACAAAAUCAUCCUCACUGCUGGACUCCAUUUUAUCUCCUACUGCAAAUAUAAUAAAACA